rnacentral:rRNA from 1 species
AACGAACGCUGGCGGCGUGCCUAACGCAUGCAAGUCGAACGAGAAAGGGGCUUCGGCUCCGAGUAAAGUGGCGCACGGGUGAGUAACACGUAGGUAACCUGCCUCUAAGAUUGGGAUAACCUGUCGAAAGACGAGCUAAUACCAAAUAAGACCACAGUCCCUUCGGGGACAGGGGUCAAAGGUAGCCUCUAUUUAUAAGCUAUCGCUGAGAGAUGGGCCUGCGUACCAUUAGCUAGUUGGUGAGGUAACGGCUCACCAAGGCAAAGAUGGUUAGCUGGUGUGGGAAGAUGAUCAGCCACACUGGAACUGGGACACGGUCCCGACUCCUACGGGAGGCAGCAGUGGGGAUUAUUGCGCAAUGGGCGAAAGCCUGACGCGGCAACGCCGCGUGAGUGAUGGAGGCCUUCGGGUCGUAAAGCUCUGUGGGAGGGAACGAAUGCUCUUGAGGUUAACAGCCUCGGGAGGUGACGGUACCCUCAAAGGAAGCACCGGCUAACUCUGUGCCAGCCGCCGCAGUAAAAC